UACAUAAGGGGCAAGCGUUGUUCGGAAUUACUGGGCGUAAAGGGCGCGUAGGCGGCCUGCUAAGUCGAACGUGAAAUCCCCGGGCUCAACCCGGGAACUGCGUCCGAUACUGGCAGGCUUGAAUCCGGGAGAGGGAUGCGGAAUUCCAGGUGUAGCGGUGAAAUGCGUAGAUAUCUGGAGGAACACCGGUGGCGAAGGCGGCAUCCUGGACCGGCAUUGACGCUGAGGCGCGAAAGCCAGGGGAGCAAACGGG
rnacentral:rRNA from 1 species